GGUUCGGUGGUCUAGGGGUAUGAUUCUCGCUUAGGGUGCAAGAGGUCCGGUUCAAAUCCAGCCGAACCC